rnacentral:rRNA from 1 species
UACGUAGGUGGCAAGCGUUACUCGGAAUCACUAGGCGUAAAGCGCAGGUAGGCGGUUGGAUAAGUCUAUUGUGAAAGCUCCCGGCUUAACUGGGAGAGGCCAAUGGAAACUAUCCGGCUAGAGUUUGGUAGGGGGUACUGGAAUUCCCGGUGUAGCGGUGAAAUGCGUAGAUAUUGGGAAGAACACCAGUGGCGAAGGCGGUUCUCUGGGACGGUACUGACGCUGAGACGCGAAAGCGUGGGGAGCGAACAGG